CCCUUAGAUGUUCUGGGCCGCACGCGCGCUACACUGAUGCAUUCAACGAGUUUCUUCCUGGUCCGAGAGGAAUGGGUAACCUUUUGAAAGUGCAUCGUGAUAGGGAUAGACUAUUGCAAUUAUUCAUCUUCAACGAGGAAUACCUAGUAAACGCAAGUCAUCAACUUGCAUUGAUUACGUCCCUGCCCUUUGUACACACCGCCCGUCGCUCCUACCGAUUGAACGAUCCGGUGAAAACUCAGGACUGAUGACUGACCAGCGGUUCGCCGUUGCCAGUUUCGGGAAUUUGUUUGAACCUUAUCGUUUAGAGGAAGGAGAAGUCGUAACA
rnacentral:rRNA from 1 species